UCACUCCCCGAGUCCUUCCAAGAUACUUUGUUGGAGAGUUAGAGCUUCUUGGAACAUUAUUUGAAAAGCUCUGGACUAACUACUCUUCAAUGGCUCCAAAAUCUCUGUUUGUAAUAAACCUAGAAUUUAAGAGCUUCAUCAAGAAAGAGAAGAAUCUCACCCAGUGUUAUGGAUUGAAUUCCAUCCCCUCAAAAGAUGUUGAAGUCCUACCUCUCAGGACCUGUGAAUAUGACCUUAUUUGGAAACAUGGUCUUUGCAGAUUAUCAAGUUAAGAUGAAGUCAUAAGGGUGUAUUACUAUGUUCUUAUAAAAAGGGGACAUUUUGACAUAGAGAUAGAUACACAUGGGGAGAACGUCAUAUGAAGAUGAAGGCAGAGAUGGAGGUAAUGCAUCUACAAAUCAAGGAUCAUCAAUGAUUGCCAGCAAACUAUCAAAGAUGAGGAGAGAGGGACGCAACAAAUUCUUCCUUACAGUCCUUGGAAGGAACCAACCCUGCUGCAAACAUUGUGCUUUAGAACUGAGACAAUAAAUUUCUGUUUAAGCCACCCAGUUUGUGGAACUUUGUCACGGUAGCCCUAAGAAACUCAUGUACCUAGGAGUGAAUUUGAACAGAGGUGAUGGUCCCUCACAUUCUAAGGGCCUCAGUUAACAGAGUUAGGCCUUUCGAUUAAUUCAGUGUUUUUUUUUUUAGAGCCAACUGGGUACAAGUCACAAUGGUAAGCACCACAGAGAAAUACAGAGUUAAAGAAGUCUUGGUUUCUGCACUCACUGGGCCUCCAACUUUGGAAGGAAAGAUAUGAUAAGUCCUAAAACAACAUAAUCCAAGUGGGCCCUAGAUUGGAUUUGGACGGACGGAACUGACGAUAGAAAGGGCAUUUCUAUGAAUAUCCAACACUCUGCGUGUCCCUGUCUGAUCAAAGUACAUAAACAGAAAAUCCUGAAAUAGUAUACUUUAAGAAUUUGGACUUCACUUACCCCAAGUAAAUACAAGGAAGAUUUCUGUCUAAGACCCGCUCCACAAAGACGACUUGAGAGCCAGGUAAAUGGCUACAUCUGAACAAAAUACUCAUAGCAGGUGUGUUUUCCACG